ACGAACGCUGGCGGCGUGCUUAACACAUGCAAGUCGAACGAGGUCCAAGCAGUCGCAAGACUGCGGACGAUCUAGUGGCGAACGGGUGCGUAACACGUGAGGAACUUGUCCCGGUCUCUGGAAUAACAAGUGGAAACACUUGCUAAUACCGGAUGCCGUCGGUCCAUCGCAUGGUGGACUGACGAAAGGGUUACCGGAUCGGGAGAGCCUCGCGGCCUAUCAGCUUGUUGGUGAGGUAAUGGCUCACCAAGGCAUCGACGGGUAGCUGGUCUGAGAGGAUGAUCAGCCACACUGGGACUGAGACACGGCCCAGACUCCUACGGGAGGCAGCAGUGGGGAAUCUUGCACAAUGGGCGAAAGCCUGAUGCAGCAACGCCGCGUGCGGGAAGAAGGCCCUAGGGUUGUAAACCGCUUUCAGCAGGGAAGAAAAUGACGGUACCUGUAGAAGAAGGUGCGGCCAACUACGU
rnacentral:rRNA from 1 species